rnacentral:rRNA from 1 species
GAGUCUUAACCGGGCGUUAAGUUGCAGGGUAUAGACCCGAAACCCGGUGAUCUAGCCAUGGGCAGGUUGAAGGUUGGGUAACACUAACUGGAGGACCGAACCGACUAAUGUUGAAAAAUUAGCGGAUGACCUGUGGCUGGGGGUGAAAGGCCAAUCAAACCGGGAGAUAGCUGGUUCUCCCCGAAAGCUAUUUAGGUAGCGCCUCGUGAAUUCAUCUCCGGGGGUAGAGCACUGUUUCGGCUAGGGGGCCAUCCCGGCUUACCAACCCGAUGCAAACUGCGAAUACCGGAGAAUGUUAUCACGGGAGACACACGGCGGGUGCUAACGUCCGUCGUGAAGAGGGAAACAACCCAGACCGCCAGCUAAGGUCCCAAAGUCAUGGUUAAGUGGGAAACGAUGUGGGAAGGCCCAGACAGCCAGGAUGUUGGCUUAGAAGCAGCCAUCAUUUAAAGAAAGCGUAAUAGCUCACUGGUCGAGUCGGCCUGCGCGGAAGAUGUAACGGGGCUAAACCAUGCACCGAAGCUGCGGCAGCGACACUAUGUGUUGUUGGGUAGGGGAGCGUUCUGUAAGCCUGUGAAGGUGUGUCGUGAGGC